UCUCCUCCUGGCGCCUCUCUCGGCCUCUGUUCCUCCGGCCUCCUCUCUGUUCGAGGCCUACGAGGUCGCGCUCGCACCGUCCUCUCCGCCACUCUCUAGACUCUCACCGUACUCAGUUACUCACGGCGAGGCUCGAGUUCGGGGGCUCUCCUCUCCUUCACUCGGACGCAACGCUUGACGGACGACGGUCCUCAGCUCGUCGCCCCUUCGCCCUGUUUCCGACGCCACACAAGGUUGACACUUGAAUCUCGGUUCUUCUGCUUUCAUUCUGAUUGGUUGUUGGCCUGAUUUCUGAUUCCAAAAAAAAAAAAAAAAACAGAGAGAAUGGCAAAGAAGAAGAAUCCCCGGGUUUAUAUGGAUGUCUCUGUAGAUAAGGUGUAUGUUGGAAGGAUGAUUUUUGAGCUAUUCGAAGAUGUUGCCCCUGCAACCACAGAAAAUUUCCGUGCUUUAUGUACUGGUGAGAAGGGAAUUGGGCCAAAAACAGGUUUGCCCCUACAUUACAAGGGUUCUUUCUUCUAUCGGUUUCGGAGGGAUAUCUCCUAUGUGAAGGGCGGGGAUUUGGGCGGUCGGAAUGGUACUUGUGGGGAAAGCAUCUAUGGUGUAAAUUUCCCGAGUGAGAAUGCCAAUAAUAUCCAUAUGAGACGCCUAUACUUAAACAUGAUGAACGAGGACUUCUUACCAUGAACAUUGCUGAUCGUUAUGGAAUUGGGUCACAUUUUGUAAUCACACUGAAACCAGAUUCGGGUCUUGACAGAUUGCCUGGUCUUCAAAUAUUGCAUAUGUAGAAGUAUAUAAUUUAUCAAUCCUAUUAUGUGAAAUCUUUGUAUAGGUUUCAUGUGGUUUUUGGAAAGAUUAUUCGGGGAUUCAAAACAUUGGGUAAGAUUACAGAGGCGCCUGUGGGUGAGGGGGCAACAGUUCAAGUCUCAGAUUGUGGUGAAUAUGCUAGAGUUGG